rnacentral:lncRNA from 1 species
UCGCGCCACGCAGCCGACAUGGACAAUGACAGCACUGCUCCUCCCCUUCCCUCUGGCCCGCACCUCAUUUCCUACCAGGUGGCAGUCGGAGGUGUUUCCACCCAAAAAAAUCGGUGCAAUUCACAUCUCGGCUCGUGCACUGCACGGAGAGGCAGGGGAGCAUGUGCACGCCCUCCCGUCACCGGCGACUUGGGGUUUUGGCACAGAACGCCGCCGGUUACUUUGGCGCGGACAGCGACACACCGAUGAAGGAGAGGAAGAGAAGCAAAUCCAUGAAUUAGAUGAAAUACUGCAACACUUUAUUCCCUUCCGAAUGAUACUACAACACACAACGGAGACACGAACACAGUCACAGGCGUGCAUGACAUGACGGACUCCCGGGCGUCGAGCAACCAACAAUGCAGUGCAGGCACCACGAUUUUCUUUUCACCCGACGGACAAACAAAAAACAAUGCAAUGCAGAGAGAUCAGAUCACUUGAUGAGGCUGGUGACGGCGGUGCAGACGAUGNNNNNNN